rnacentral:rRNA from 1 species
CUACGGGUCGCAGCAGUGAGGAAUAUUGCACAAUGGGGGGAACCCUGAUGCAGCAACGCCGCGUGGAGGAUGACGCAUUUCGGUGUGUAAACUCCUUUUAUAUGUCAAGAAAAUGACGGUAGCAUAUGAAUAAGCACCGGCUAACUCCGUGCCAGCAGCCGCGGUAAUACGGAGGGUGCAAGCGUUACUCGGAAUCACUGGGCGUAAAGGACGCGUAGGCGGGCGUGUAAGUCAGGUGUGAAAUCCUACAGCUUAACUGUAGAACUGCACUUGAAACUACGAGCCUAGAGUAUGGGAGGGGGAGAUGGAAUUAGUGGUGUAGGGGUAAAAUCCGUAGAUAUCACUAGGAAUACCUAAAGCGAAGGCGAUCUCCUGGAACAUAACUGACGCUAAGGCGUGAAAGCGUGGGGAGCAAACAGGAUUAGAUACCCUUGUAGUC